rnacentral:lncRNA from 1 species
UCAUAUUUUGGUGCUGCUAAAAUCUGCUUGUGUGUUAGCUUAUCCUUGAAGCCACUAUUGAAUUCAAUUUGAGAAUUCAAUAUGGCAGAUUUCGAGGAUAAGGUGAAGCACACAGCAAAGAAAGCCAAGGUUGUAGCAAAGAAGGCCAAGAAAGCAGUUGUCAAAGGUGGGGUGAAGGUUGUUGGUGCUUGUAAGAAAGGAUGGGCAAAACUUAGGAAAAGCAUCAAGGAAUUCCAGGACAAGAAUAAGAAUAAGAAAACAGAGUAUUUAGGUCGUGAUAAUCAUUAAAUAUUGAGAGGAAAACGUGUGUACUGACAGUAUAUGAAUUUUAUACAUUGUCAUUCUAUUAUCCACCAUUCAUUUUUAGUCAUCGUUAAUCUUUCAAAAAAUAUAAUACAAAUAAAUGAUGGAUAAAUAUUUAUUCUGACAGUGCAUAGAUAUCAUAGUCUUAAAUAUUUACAUAUUCUUGAAUCUGGUCAAUCUUGCGUACAUCUUUAGCAGCUGGUUAUGUAAUGCAGCAUCAUUAUUAAUUAUUGUCACCCUUAUAUGUAUUGAUUCAAUGAAAAAUAUACAAAAUUUGGUGGGUAUAGUAUUAGUAGUGAUUGCCUUUUUCUUUGAUAGGUAUUUUAAUUAAUGUUUGAACAUCUCAUUAAGUUUUUGUUUUGUUUUUUAAACUUAAGAUAUCUAGUGGCUAACUAUAUCUACUACAUUUUCUUUUUCUCUAGCCCCUAGAGCCAUGAUUCUCGUUUUUAUUCCAAUCAAUCAUGGGACUGUGACAUGUAUAUAUAUUCUGAUGUAUUUAGUGUAUAGAUAUUAUACUUUUUUACAAAGAAAAAAUGAUAUAUGUUUUGAUGUAAAAAAAUUUUACACUAUUAAUAUAUCAUUCAUAUUUUAUCAUUACUGAAUCUUAAAUAAAAGUAAUAUAAAUCAUGAAAGAUUUUCACUUCCACUAUUACUCUAGAACUCUCAUUUGCAUUUUUAUCACUCACGUAGUAGUAUCAUACUCAAAUACAAUCACAGAAGAGGAUGCUUGUUUUUCAUAUGUCCCUUUUACAAUUAUAGUAAUCCUUUUGGAAUUUGCCACAAUAAUAAAUUUACCACAACAUACCCUCUUUAUUUGUUAGUUAGUGUUAUUAAUAGUUCAAUAAGUAGUUUAUCAAUUAAACUGAAUACUGAUUAAGUUAUAUAUCUAUAUUAAUGUAUAAAGGCAAAAUAAGCUUAAUAUGUAUUUAAGUCAUUGAAUGAUGUAAUUUCUAUAUCUUUACUUUGCAUAUACUACUAUAAACCACAUGCCUAAUGUUCGUAUACCAGACUAAGCGAUUACAAACCAAUGCAAUAUAGUCUAUCAAUUAAUGUAUUCUCUUAUACUCCUUUUCCAUCACUACAACCUCAUUCUAUCAAUUAAUUUACAAUAAUUUUUAAAUGCCUUUAGAGUAUCAUGUUUAUUAUUUUUUAAAUGCCUUUAGAGUAGUAAAGUGUAACUCCGCUAAUUAAUAAAUUAAAAGUGUAUAUAUAAUUUGAUGAUAAUAUAUAUGUAUAUAAUUAAAUACAUUUAUAGUCAUUUAGGUGGUUCAAACAUAGAGCAACCGUUUCAGUUAAAGGGACCAUAAAAACUAAAAAAUAUAAAUGUUCAUUUAAAAAAAAAUUAAGAUUGAAUAAUUGACACAAUCAAAUAUAUUCAACUACAAAUUAUAAUAUUUGAUAUUUAAGUAUGUAGACUACACACAUUACAAAUAAUAUAAAAACGGUUUGACAUACAUGACAAUGCAUGUCAACAUGUGGCAUCAAGGAAUUCCAGGACAAGAAUAAGAAUAAGAAAACAGAGUAUUUAGGUCGUGAUAAUCAUUAAAUAUUGAGAGGAAAACGUGUGUACUGACAGUAUAUGAAUUUUAUACAUUGUCAUUCUAUUAUCCACCAUUCAUUUUUAGUCAU